rnacentral:rRNA from 1 species
GACGAACGCUGGCGGCGUGCCUAACACAUGCAAGUCGUGCGGGGAGGAGAUAGCUUGCUAUCGAAUCCCAGCGGCGGACGGGUGAGUAACGCGUGAGCAAUCUGCCUCAAACAGGGGGAUAACGCAUCGAAAGAUGUGCUAAUACCGCGUAAGACCACAGUACCGCAUGGUACAGGGGUCAAAGGAGCAAUCCGGUGCCUUAAGAUGGGCUCGCGUCCAAUUAGCUAGUUGGUGGGGUAACGGCCCACCAAGGCAACGAUUGGUAGCCGGACUGAGAGGUUGAACGGCCACAUUGGAACUGAGAAACGGUCCAGACUCCUACGGGAGGCAGCAGGUGGGGGAUAUUGCGCAAUGGGGGAAACCCUGACGCAGCAACGCCGCGUGAAGGAAGAAGGCCUUCGGGUUGUAAACUUUUGUCUUUUGGGAAGAAGAAUGACGGUACCAAAGGAGGAAGCCACGGCUAACUACGUG